GACGUAGGAUGCAAGCGUUGUCCGGAAUUAUUGGGCGUAAAGAGUUCGUAGGCGGUUAUCUAAGUCUGGUGUUAAAGCCCGAAGCUCAACUUCGGCAUGGCAUUGGAAACUGGGUAGCUAGAGUGUGGUAGAGGUAUCGGGAAUUCCUGGUGUAGCGGUGAAAUGCGUAGAUAUCAGGAGGAACACCGGCAGCGAAAGCGCGAUACUGGGCCAUAACUGACGCUGAGGAACGAAAGCCAGGGGAGCGAAAGGG
rnacentral:rRNA from 1 species